UACGUAGGGGGCAAGCGUUGUCCGGAUUCAUUGGGCGUAAAGAGCGUGUAGGCGGCCAGGUAGGUCGGUUGUGAAAACUGGAGGCUCAACCUUCAGAGGUCGACCGAAACCAUCUGGCUAGAGUCCGGGAGAGGAGAGUGGAAUUCCUGGUGUAGCGGUGAAAUGCGCAGAUAUCAGGAAGAACACCCGUGGCGAAAGCGGCUCUCUGGAACGGUACUGACGCUGAGGAGCGAAAGCCAGGGGAGCAAACGGG
rnacentral:rRNA from 1 species